CUCACGGAGUUGAAUUCGCAGGCGAGCAGGGCUCGUUCGGGUGCGGUCCCACCUCGGGAGGCAAAGUGAUGGGCCCGGAUAACUAGGUCCCAUGCCAUCUUUGGGACAUACUCUUACUAGAAGGUUUCCGACAUUCAGUAUUUCAUCUAGCAAUCCUCACAUUGGACCACACCCUUGCCUGGCAGAUUGGAGAUUGGAAUGAGCUUGUAAGAGAACCCUCAGCUCCAGGAGAGAGUGCAGCUGGCCAACACCUUCCCUGCAGCCUGAGCGAAGGACCAGCCACGCUGUGCCGCACUUCCAAGCCACACAACCGUGAGCUCGUAAAAAGGUGUUGUUUUAAGCUCCUGAAUUUGAGUCGUUCGUCACGUGGCACAGAAAACGGAUAUAGAGGUCGUGUAACUACCACCGGGUGAAGCCCGGGAGGUAACAGGCCAGACCCUGCAGGGCCAUCGGCCGCGGGGAGGACUUUGCAUUUGUGCUGAGGGACCCAGAAAACCACGCCAAGUGUGUAACUCUCACAUCCUCGCCCUCUGUUCCCCCUCGCCCUUCUCUCAUUUUCCGUCCUGCCCGGUUUUCAUUCCAUCGCCACCCCCUACCUCCUUAUAUCUGUCUACCGAGGUGUGUGUUUGCGGAUCUCCGGGGGCACUGUUGAUUGUGAGUGACGGGAAAUCUCACAAAUUACUUAACCCCCAAAUCCGGGACUUCAGGAAUGGCUGGAUCCAGGAGCUCAAGGAUUACUUUCAGAAGUCUGCGUCUUUCCCUCCCUCUACCUUGCUGUCUUCUGCCUUGUCUUCUGCCUCACCUUCAUUCUCUGGUAGGCCCUCCCCACAUGGUGGCUGAGAUGACCACCAGCAGUUGGGAGUCGAAGCCUGUCAUUUUAACAAUCCAGUCAGAGACCCCACCUUUCCACAUGGCUCCCCUAAGAGUCCUGGGAUGACCCGGAAAGGAGCAGCUUGGGUCACAUGACCGAUGCAGAACCAAUCACAAAGGGCGGGGGAAGGGUCACUGCAGAGG